AGUUGGCCUGCUGUCACUGCCCAUCAUUUGGGCAGGCGCUGGAGCACUGGUAGAGUAUGAACACACCAGGAGACACACCGUAAAACUUUAGGAAUGAUAAUUUGCUCCUGAAGAAAAGGGACAAAAAGUGAUUUUUCUUCUAGCUUUGUUUGAGAUGCUCUUAAACUUGAGACCAGUGUUAAAAAAAAUGUUAACCUUUCAAUUCAAAAUAAUGUUUCAAAGCAUAAUAAUAAAUUGUGUCAUUAAGCCAGAUGGAAUGACUUACAUAAACUGCUUAAACCCACCCCCCCCAAAAAAAUCAAGAUAAUAGGCUUGACAGGUGGCACAAACGCACAAUGCAACUGCUUUAGAAAGUGCAGAUACAGAAGAUGUUAAGAUAAUUUCUUGGAUGAUCGAUCCAGAUGCUGCACGGAAGGAAAAUGGGGCUCCAUUGAGGUGAUCAUCAAGAAGGACAAGUAUUGUGUCAUGCUCUUUUAUUUUAGGUGUGAUGGAUUCAGCUUGGGGUGAUUGUGCUCCUGGUUAUUAUAAGGUAUAACUAUAGAGUAAUGAGGCUGCUUUUCAGAAGCCACCAGCCUUGUCUGCUUCAGUGGUCACGUGUUUCCACCACAUUGAAUGCCAGCUUAAACUAUUAUGUAGGUAACAAUGAGAUACUGAAGAUCUUCGGGAAAAAAAAAUCUUAGACACUUAGUCAUUUGACAAAUGGCAUUGAACAUAGGAUUCAGUGAAGUUUACUUUCUUUGGAACAUUUCUUUGCUCAUUCACAGUUGUUCAGCCUAGCCCAGCUGUUGAAGUUGUAUUAGUAAGUCUCCAUUCUCCAUCAAGAGUUGACCUGGUUCAAGUAGCAGCAUGUGUUGCCGAGAAGGAUGGUGCAGAUGCUGACCUUGUUCUGUCUGUGUAGCCAGGGCAGAGGAUGAAAUGGCAGGGUCAGCAUCCCUGUCUCACAUCCCUUCAGCAUAUUGCCAAAGCAUCUUUGUAAUAACAGAAGUGGGAAGUCACACCACAGCCAAUUUUCCUCAUUCCUCAGUCAAACUGUAGGUAACGUCUUUCCUCUCACACGUGGCUGCUAAAAUAGUGUUCAUGAAUCAUGUCUCAUUCUGUCAUUCCUGAGGGGCAGCAAUCUGUGGAUUUUGUAAUUCUCUUUAAGCCACUUAACCUUUCAUAGGCUCUUUCCUUGUCCCCAUAACUAGGGGGACAGUAUCUUGAAUUUCUUCAAGCUUCUCAAAUAUUCCAGUUCCCUUCUCUGCAAGAAUGAUGUGUGUAACCUGAUCAUGACCUUUCUACCUUUUCCUGCCAUUCUUAUGUAUUCUCCAAUCACACACACAACCACACACAACAACAACAACAACAAAAAACAAACAAACAAAAAACCCCAAACACUUGACUUCUUCAGCUCUUUUCUGACCUCUCAGGUGUUUUUCCACCUGUGCUGUGUGUCUUUGUCAUCUCUUCAUUAUUGGCUUUCUUACUUGGAGGCCAUUGCAUACCUGCCUUAAAUUUUCAGCUGUCUGUCUCUUUUUUAUGCUUAUGAGCAAAACUAUAUGUUGUUUCUCAUGUUGGCCAGCACAGUCUGUCCUGCAGUACAGCCAUGUGUACACUAACCCAGGGAGUCUAGUACAAUGUAGCUUCUUAUAGUGAGGGACUUCAUUCAUGUUUAUGGCUUUUCCAAUACCAGUUCAGAGUUACACCCAUUUACAGGAUUUAUAGCUCAUUUAUGAUAACCACAAUCCAGUGCUGGAAGUCUUGAUUCUGCUUCCUCAGACAAUAGAUUAUAUUCCCAGGACUUAUGGGUACCUGGGCUCCCCAGUUAAGAUCUCAUUGAUUUGGGGCAGACCAAAGAGGGAAGUUGGGGAUCUUGAGUUAGGGAAAGACCACCACAGGCUGCUGUGCUUAUCUCAGUUGGAGACAGUUCAACAUGUUUUUGAAGGAGACUUCAAGAUCUUUCUAACCUGUGCCUGUUGUAACUCUUGCUCAGUGUAGCUCAAAUCUUCCUGAAACUCACAAGACAGCAGGUGGGCCUCAAGCUAACUGCUCCAGCUGCAGUCUCUGAUUGGUGGGCAUCACAUACCCAGGUUGGCUUUUUUUUUUCAUAGAUUAUUUUGUGAGGCAAAUGGAAGAAUUUUAUGUGUUUGCCUAAGUUAGCUAUUUCAUAUCAGUAGUUUAAGGGAUUCUAACUGGCUUAUCUGUCUCUUGGAGUUCAAAUGAUUAAGAAGACAUUUUAAUCUAAACAAUAGGACCUCUUUUAAGAAAUUCAGUUAGCCUACUUUUUAAAUUUGUGAGGAAUUUCUAAUUUCUAGUUUGUUUGUUUGUUUGUUUGUUUGUUCUGUAUUUCAGUUUCAUUACUCCAUGUAAGAUCCUGAGGAGAGUAUAUCCACAACUAUUACUAUAAGCCAUUCGAAGGGAUUAAACACUUGAGAGUUUUUUGCCUUUGACUUUCACAGGACAGAAUUAUGUUUUAUACAGGCAUCUGCAUGUCUAUGU
rnacentral:lncRNA from 1 species